AGUAUUACAUCAGGUACUGGU
rnacentral:miRNA from 6 species